CUCCUCCUCCUCCUCCUCCUCCUCCUCCUCCUCUGAGAGCACUGUGGACAGAACCCAAAUGGAAGUCCUUGAAGUGAAAUUCAGCUUGGUCCAGGGUCCCUCAGAAUCUCCACCAAGGCCUUCAACACUGCUUAGACUUGGAAAGGCCAGGGUCCAGUCUUUUGGCUAGUGGAAUAUCCUUGGCUAUGUUCUGACGCGCCUGUGAAUCCUGUGUUUCCAGGUGACUCCCCCCCCCAGCCACCCACCAAGGCAAAGAUGACAAAAUCUGCUCUCUUCAGCACUGUCCCUUUCAGAGUGGGGCUUGGCUCUUAUGAAGAUAUUUCUCUUUAUCUCCAGGGCAAGCCUGUGACACCAGGCAGAAUGCUGUGGAAGGCUGGCUCUACCCUAGGGGUCUUUUAAUUUUUUUUAGUAAAAAUUGCAUUUAUUUA